UCCGGUUUGGCACCGGCAGUCCCCCCAGAGUCCCCGACAUGACUCGCUGGCAACUGGGGGCGGGGGUUGCGCUCGUUGCGGGACUUAACCCAACAUCUCACGACACGAGCUGACGACAGCCAUGCAGCACCUGUGCAGGAACUCCGAAGAGGGCCCCUGGUUUCUCAGGGGUUUCUCCUGCAUGUCAAGCCUAGGUAAGGUUCUUCGCGUUGCGUCGAAUUAAACCACAUGCUCCACCGCUUGUGCGGGCCCCCGUCAAUUCCUUUGAGUUUCAACCUUGCGGUCGUACUCCCCAGGCGGGGUACUUCCUGCGUUAGCGCCGGCACCCAGAGGGUCGCUCCCCCAGGCACCUAGUACCCAUCGUUUACGGCGUGGACUAC
rnacentral:misc_RNA from 1 species